rnacentral:lncRNA from 1 species
ACUUCAGAGCUGUGAAGCAACUGGAACUGGAUUCUGUUCCUAGUUUCCUGCAGAAUUAGCUUCCUGUGAGUUAAAGUUUUAUGAUUUUGAUGUGAUUUCAAUUAUGGGUACUUUUAUUUUUGUUAUUUAUGCUGUUGUUUUGGAUUGGUUUUUGAUGAUUUUCAUGCUAACUUUAUAUUUGCAAGGGACUAAAGAUAUGCUGACUGAAGCUAUGCUAUGACAGAGGAUGGCAAUCACAGAAAUGAAGAGCAAACCUUGAGGCUUGAAGUUUAAUAGAGGUGGCAAAGGGUGUCCAUUAGGGAGACGAGCAUUAGAUAAUUUGCUUCAAAAAAUGGGUGGACAUAGGCUUCGAGCUGCCAAAAUAAAGAAAAUAAAC